rnacentral:rRNA from 3 species
GCAUAUCAAUAAGCGGAGGAAAAGAAACUAACAAGGAUUCCCCUAGUAACGGCGAGUGAAGCGGGAAGAGCUCAAAUUUGAAAUCUGGUGGCCUCAGGUCAUCCGAGUUGUAAUCUAUAGAAGUGUUUUCCGUGCUGGCUCAUGUACAAGUCCCUUGGAACAGGGCGUCAUAGAGGGUGAGAAUCCCGUCCUUGACAUGAACUACCAGUGCUCUGUGAUACAUUUUCAACGAGUCGAGUUGUUUGGGAAUGCAGCUCAAAAUGGGUGGUAAAUUCCAUCUAAAGCUAAAUAUUGGCGAGAGACCGAUAGCGAACAAGUACCGUGAGGGAAAGAUGAAAAGCACUUUGGAAAGAGAGUUAAACAGUAUGUGAAAUUGUUGAAAGGGAAACGAUUGAAGUCAGUCGUGCUCUUUGGAUUCAGCCGGUUCUGCCGGUGUACUUCCUUUGAGUGGGGUCAACAUCAGUUUUGAUCGCUGGAUAAAGGCUGGAGGAACGUAGUACCCUCGGGUAAACUUAUAGCCUCCUGUCACAUACAGUGGUUGGGACUGAGGAACGCAGCACGCCUUUAUGGCCGGGAUUCGUCCACGUACGUGCUUAGGAUGUUGACAUAAUGGCUUUAAACGACCCGUCUUGAAACACGGACC